ACUUGGCAGUUCCUCUUGUUCAGCACAUAACUAAUUUUCACUAAGUAAUCUACUCACAUAACAAUUCAGGUUCCUUAGGAAAUUGGAUGUGAUGUUGCGACGCUUUUGAAGAUGGAUGAUUACAUUGAUGUUUCAAUUGGACAACAAAAAGUUCAACUCUAUAUCAUAACUGGUGUGAAGAGAGAUACCGUGUUUGCACCUCAAACCAAGAAAGAAAUUAGUACCCUCCGUGACCUCCAAGGUUGCAUCUCCCUGUCACGCAUGGUGGUUCUCUUAUUGAAGGGAGUAAUCCAGUCACUGGUCACAUAAUCUCCAUAAUGAUUGGAGUGAAGAAUGGAUAACCUAAAAGGACCAUCAGCUACAUGGCAGAGAGAGUUGUGGGAACUGGAUCAUUCGGAAUUGUCUUCUAGGCAAAAUGUCUGGUGACUGGUGAGACUGUUGCAAUUAAGAAGGUUUUACAGGACAAGCGUUACAAUAAUAAUCAUGGAUUAGCCUAUAUCCAUACUGUACCUGGAGUUUGCCAUAGGGACAUGAAACCUCAUAAUCUUUUGGUAUCUUCUUUUUAUACGUGACAGUUGAUUUAAUAAUAUUUUAAUAUAUGAUGAUAUUCACUUUACUGGUUUCGACAUGUUGAUCCUCUGACUCAUCAAAUCAAGAUAUGUGAUUUUGGGAGUGCCAAAAUGUUGGUUGUGUGGGUCUCUGGACUCACAUUAAGUAAGAACUUCAGUGGCAUGAUGGAUGAGGGAAGGAUCUAGUGUCACACAAGGUUAAAGGUGAAGCAAACAUAUCAUAUAUAUGCUCACGUUAUUACCAUGCUCCAGAGCUCAUAUUUGGGGCAAUUGAGUACACAACAUCAAUUGAUAUAUGGUCAUCUGGAUGUGUUCUUGCUGAGCUGCUUCUUGGCUAGCUUAGUUUCUGUUCUAC